rnacentral:rRNA from 1 species
UACGGAGGGAGCGAGCGUUACCCGGAUUUACUGGGUGUCAAGGGCGUGUAGGCGGUCUUUCAAGUCCGAUGCUAAAGACCGGGGCUCAACCCCGGGGGUGCGUUGGAUACUGUGAGGCUAGACGGUCGGAGGGGGUAGCGGAAUUUCCGGAGUAGCGGUGAAAUGCGCAGAUACCGGAAGGAACUCCGAUAGCGUAGGCAGCUACCUGGACGAUUGGUGACGCUGAGGCGCGAAAGCGUGGGGAGCAAACCGG